UUUCUCCUUUAGAGACGUUAUUGUGGCACUUUUCAGUAAGUAGGUAGCAAGAAAUAAAAGCUGGCAUGGCCAGUGUCACCUUGUUGGGGAGAUCCCCAUGUCUGCCUACGAGUGCCAAGACUCUUACUGGAAUUACUGGACAGAAUUAAUGCUUGUCCUUCUUUUCUUCCAGUGCCCUGAGAAGGACUUGGACUGAGAGAGGUUCAGAAAGCCGAACCCAGUAAAACCCAGGGCUCCUCAGGUCCUGAGAACACCCAGUGCCCGGAGAAGGACUUGGACUGACACAUACUCAGAGAGCUGGAAUCAUCCUUUGCAAGCAUCAGGGCUUUAAAAGACUUAAUAGCAGCUCCCUGCUACUCUCCUGGGCAGCUACACACAGGCGAGCCUCUCAGAGCAGCACAUUUUGCAUCAGGUCAGAAGCUUGACAGCCAGCCCAAGCUAGAUCUAUCUCGGCAUGGAGCAGGAGAACAACAGAGGCCAAGAGAGCCACAGAGCGGGAGGUACCAAGCUUACAGUGAAGUUUCUCUCUUCCAAGUAAGCUCUGAGGGAGAAGUUCAAGGUGGUCAGAGAUCAGUCUCCAAGGCUGGCACUUCGCAGCAACUCGCCACAGAGACAUUUCUGGCCCCAUUUUCCAGAGGAAAUCCAUUUCUGAACCACUUGCAUUGAGGAAUUGGGUUUCCAGCAGCUCCACAUUCCGGUACCAAAGCAUCCCACUCUGCCAGGGGUUGAGGCUGAAUACAAAUCCGCAACUUGAUUUGGGGCAAAGCAAUUAAGCUCCCUACAAAAAGAAAGAAGAAACACAUAAAAAACCCCUCACCAACAAACAAAGAAAGAGUGAGCGAGACAACCUCAAAUAAAAACUGACACCAAACCCCAAA